AUGCAUGCAAGUCGCACGGUCGGGCUUCGGCCCGGUAGUGGCGAACGGCUGAGGAACACGUACGAACCUACUCCUGUGUGGGGGACAACUCGGCGAAAGCCGCGCUAAUCCCGCAUACGCUCUUCGGAGGAAAGCGUGGAAACACGCGCACAGGAUUGGGCGUGCGGCCCAUCAGGUAGUUGGUGAGGUAAUGGCCCACCAAGCCGGUGACGGGUAGCUGGUCUGAGAGGACGACCAGCCAGACUGGGACUGUGACACGGCCCAGACUCCUACGGGAGGCAGCAGCAAGGAAUUUUCGGCAAUGGGCGCAAGCCUGACCGAGCAACGCCGCGUGGAGGAUGACGGCUUUCGGGUUGUAAACUCCUUUUGCCAGGGAAGAUUAGGACGGUACCUGGCGAAUAAGCCCCGGCUAACUCUGUGCCAGCAGCCGCGGUAAUACAGAGGGGGCAAGCGUUAUCCGGAUUUACUGGGCGUAAAGGGUGUGUAGGCGGUUGGGCAGGUGGGGUGUUCCAGCGUGCGGCUUAACUGCACGAGUGCGCUCCAAACCGCUUGACUCGAGGGGUGCAGAGGUUGGUGGAAUUGCCAGUGUAGCAGUGAAAUGCGUAGAGAUUGGCAGGAACACCAAGGGCGCAAGCAGCCAACCAGGCACCACCUGACGCUGAGGCACGAGAGCGUGGGGAGCAAACAGGAUUAGAUACCCUGGUAGUCCACGCCGUAAACGAUGUCUGCUCGCGUCGUGGGAGUUAUCCAUACUCCUGGGACGCUUAGCUAACGCGGUAAGCAGACCGCCUGGGAACUACGAGCGCAAGCUUAAAACUCAAAGGAAUUGACGGGGGCCCGCACAAGCAGCGGAGCGUGUGGUUUAAUUCGACGCAACGCGAAACACCUUACCUAGGUUUGACAUGGUAGUGCAAGCCGGUGAAAGCCGGUCGCCUUCGAGGGUCUACCACAGAUGCUGCAUGGCUGUCGUCAGCUCGUGUCGUGAGAU
rnacentral:rRNA from 1 species